AUUGAACGCUGGCGGCAUGCCUUACACAUGCAAGUCGAACGGCAGCGGGGGAGAAGCUUGCUUUUCCUGCCGGCGAGUGGCGAACGGGUGAGUAAUACAUCGGAACGUGCCCUGUAGUGGGGGAUAACUAGUCGAAAGAUUAGCUAAUACCGCAUACGACCUGAGGGUGAAAGUGGGGGACCGCAAGGCCUCUGCUCUGGGAUGGGCCCGCGCCGGAUUAGCUUGUUGGUGGGGUAACGGCCUACCAAGGCGACGAUCCGUAGCUGGUCUGAGAGGACGAUCAGCCACACUGGGACUGAGACACGGCCCAGACUCCUACGGGAGGCAGCAGUGGGGAAUCUUGCGCAAUGGGCGAAAGCCUGACGCAGCAACGCCGCGUGAGCGAAGACGGCCUUCGGGUUGUAAAGCUCUGUCAGGAGGGACGAAGCCACUCGGGUGAAUAGCCCAGAGGGUGACGGUACCUCCAGAGGAAGCCCCGGCUAACUACGUGCCAGCCGCCGCCGUAA
rnacentral:rRNA from 1 species